UGCCUCAGGCGUAGCAAUAGGACCACUGCUCGUCCUCACUAGCCCCAGAAUCGACAGCAGCAUUGUAAUCUUCCUCAUUGCAAUAGUAGAAGCCAUUGUUAUUCAUGGCAGUCAACGAACAAGGGGAUGCCACUACAAGAUAAGGCAUGUUGUGGAAAGAACGAGCAAUGGUGCUAACUAAAGCAGCAUGGGUGCCUUCAUUGCCAUGGCCCUGUCCACAAAAUUCUUCCGCACGGUGCUUGAGGGUCUCAAACAUGAGCUCGGGCUCGUGCUGCAUCACUCGGAGGACAUCCCCACAUGACGGACCAGGCGCCGCCCGCGUAACCGCAAAGCUAUAUGGACCAUCACUCUGCGACACGCUAACAACACUUGGGCCACCAAAGAGGUUGUGAACUCCACCGAGGGAUUCCUGGUAAGCCCCACCCAAGAACAUCCCCAAAUAGUACCGCCCAUUAGCACCACCACUGCUACCACCACCAUUACCUUCCAACCCAUGUAAAGGCAAGCUUGUUUCACCUCCGAUGAACUUAUCAAUCUUCCCAUCACUGUCACAGGUUAAAUCAGACAAAAUCCCCCUCACUUCAGGCCUUUCAUCCAAUCGAUGAAUGGGGACUAUGGGAAAAAUCUGACCAAUACUCCAAAAAUCAGGG
rnacentral:lncRNA from 1 species